GGUGCAAGCGUUAUCCGGAUUCACUGGGUUUAAAGGGUGCGUAGGCGGAUUUGUAAGUCCGUGGUGAAAUCUCCGAGCUUAACUCGGAAACUGCCAUGGAUACUAUAAGUCUUGAAUGUUGUGGAGGUUUGCGGAAUAUGUCAUGUAGCGGUGAAAUGUUUAGAUAUGACAUAGAACACCGAGUGCGAAGGCAGCAGGCUACACAAAUAUUGACGCUGAGGCACGAAAGCGUGGGGAUCAAACAGG
rnacentral:rRNA from 1 species